rnacentral:rRNA from 1 species
UCCUCUAGCGAAAUCAUCUCCUCUGGCCUAAACAAUACAAUCUCAGAACCUCUUACUCGCACAAACUAUGUUUUGUGGCGAGCCCAAGCCCGAUCCCAGAUCAUAGGGGCAGGUCUCUUCGGAUACCUUGAUCAAACAAUCCCAGAACCACCAGCCACCAUUACCUCCAAAAACGCAGAAGGAAAAGAUCAAACCAGACCAAACCCACCCUACUCCGCCUGGUUGAUUCAAGAUCAACAGCUUGUGGCAUAUCUGCUCCGCAACUUCUCCAAAGAAGUCCUAGUUCAGGUCGCUUCCCUAGAAAAAUCCCAUGCCAUCUGGUCCUCUCUCGCAAACAUGUUUGUGGCUCAAUCCAGAUCACGUGCAAACAAUUGCCGUGCUGCCCUUUCCAAUGCCCAAAAGGGCUCCCAAUCUGCCGCAGCCUACUUUGGUCAGAUGCGAGUGCUUGCAGAUGAACUUGCCAUGGCUGGAAAGCCGCUUCUCGAGGGGGAGUUAGUCUCUUUUCUCAUCUCUGGCCUCGAUAUGGACUAUCAACCUCUUAUAUCUGCAUUAGAUGUCCGCACCAAGCCUCUCUCCGUUGAUGAUCUGUUUGGCAUGGUGUCGAACUUUGAUCAAAGGGUGGAGAUGUUCCACGGCUCCGGAUCGGGUGCCUUCAAAACAUCCGCCAACGCCGCCUCUCGAGGGCGCAGUGGCUUCUCCAAAGGCAACCGCGGUGGCUUCUCCAAGGGCGGCAACAACAACGGCAACAGCGGCGGUGGCUAUGGUGGCUACCGCGGCGGCGACAACAACAAUCACAGCAACGGUGGCGGCAGCCACCGUGGCGGCGGUGGAAACUAG